AGUGAACGCUGGCGGUAGGCCUAACACAUGCAAGUCGAACGGCAGCACAGUAAGAGCUUGCUCUUACGGGUGGCGAGUGGCGGACGGGUGAGGAAUACAUCGGAAUCUACUUUUUCGUGGGGGAUAACGUAGGGAAACUUACGCCAAUACCGCAUACGACCUACGGGUGAAAGCAGGGGAUCUUCGGACCUUGCGCGAUUGAAUGAGCCGAUGUCGGAUUAGCUAGUUGGCGGGGUAAAGGCCCACCAAGGCGACGAUCCGUAGCUGGUCUGAGAGGAUGAUCCGCCACACUGGAACUGAGACACGGUCCAGACUCCUACGGGAGGCAGCAGUGGGGAAUAUUGGACAAUGGGCGCAAGCCUGAUCCAGCCAUACCGCGUGGGUGAAGAAGGCCUUCGGGUUGUAAAGCCCUUUUGUUGGGAAAGAAAAGCAGCAGGUUAAUACCCCGCUGUUCUGACGGUACCCAAAGAAUAAGCACCGGCUAACUUCGUG
rnacentral:rRNA from 1 species